CUUACUACUUGGAUAACCGUGGUAAUUCUAGAGCUAAUACAUGCUGAAAACCCCGACUUCGGGAGGGGUGUAUUUAUUAGAUAAAAAACCAACGCCCUUCGGGGCUUCUUGGUGAUUCAUGAUAACUUCACGGAUCGCAUGGCCUUGCGCCGGCGACGGUUCAUUCAAAUUUCUGCCCUAUCAACUUUCGAUGGUAAGGUAUUGGCUUACCAUGGUUUCAACGGGUAACGGGGAAUUAGGGUUCGAUUCCGGAGAGGGAGCCUKAGAAACGGCUACCACAUCCAAGGAAGGCAGCAGGCGCGCAAAUUACCCAAUCCCGACACGGGGAGGUAGUGACAAUAAAUACUGAUACAGGGCUCUUUUGGGUCUUGUAAUUGGAAUGAGUACAAUUUAAACCUCUUAACGAGGAACAAUUGGAGGGCAAGUCUGGUGCCARCAGCCGCGGUAAUUCCAGCUCCAAUAGCGUAUAUUAAAGUUGUUGCAGUUAAAAAGCUCGUAGUUGAAACUUGGGCCUGGCUGGCAGGUCCGCCUCACCGCGUGUACUU
rnacentral:rRNA from 1 species